ACAGCAGCCAUUUUAUCUGAAACCAUGAAGUAUCUCGUCGUUUUCGCUUUUCUUGCCCUGGCAUACGCUGACGUGAAAAAUGUCCGUCAGAAGUUCAAAGAUACAACCAUCACGGCGCUGAAUGACCAGAUCACGCGUGAAUUACAAGCCAGUUACUUCUACCAAGCUUACUCGCAGUACUUUGCCCGGGCUGAUGUGUCCCUCCCCGGAUUCUCCAAGUUUUUCUCCGAGGCGUCCAAAGAGGAGAGAUCUCACGCUGAGAAGUUGAUGGAGUACAUCAACAAGAGGGGCGGGGACGUCCAGAUGAAGGAAAUCAAGGUCAAAUUAAGGCUAUUUUUAGUAUCAAAGAAAGAAAAAUCAUUUGUAAAAACAGUAUAAUGAUUUUUAGUGUUUCAUAAGGGUAUGGAGGUUGCAAACAUUUGUGUAGUACAUCAACAAGAGAUGUGGGAACGUUAACGUCAAAGUUAAAAAAAAGUAACACUAAAGGUCAAAUUUAAACUAAUUUAAUUAUCAACCAAAGAUGUAAAAUGUUUUUAUUGGGUGAUUUAAGAGGGUAUGAGGGUAGCAAACAUUGCCAACAGGUUGUGUAAUAUUUUGCGCAAUGAUCGCUGCUGCUUUGACAACAAAGAAAGCAUAUUAUAUAUCACCUUCGUUGACGAAAGGAUAAGGAUAAGGAUAGCGAAUAUUUCAGAGCAUGCUAAGUUAUAUUUAUGCAUCGAUCGCCACAUUUUAAGCUACAUGUCUUUUGAAUUUUUUUUUUCAAUUUUGGGAUCAGAAGGCAUACCGGUACACGCUCACAAUCAUUGGAAGAAAGCUCUAAAUAAAAGAUCAACACAUACACAAUUAUAUAUACAUGCAGCUAUUAGGUACAUCCUGUGUAUACACAUAUAUGGCGCUUACAUAUUUUAAAACAAUUUACAUAUCUAUGUAGUCAAAAUAAUAGCUAAUACAAAGAUGAACAAAAUAAUAUGUAUAAGUAUUUCACUAGUUCAAUUAAAGUUCAAGGUAUUUUGUCUCUUUUUUUGAAAGCAUUGAUAAGAAAAUUCGCCUAACAAUCAUAUUAAUUAUGAUUCUGUCUUUAAUGGACCCUAAUAAAAUAACAAAGUCAGAUUACCAUUCUCAAAUGAAAAUAGACACUGGUGACAAAAACAGUCAUGAAAACCACAGCAGUAAAACAACAUUUUAGCAAUGUAUAGUCAUCCAAAGAUUUACAUCCAAACACUCCUCUUAUUAAAACUUAUUUCAUACAGAUUAUAUCUAAAGGUAAAGAGAGUAAAUCGGUUAUCAAUAAAUGUGCAUGUUAGUACAAAUCAACAUUUACAGUCAUCUGAAAACUUCUUUCAAACACUCCUUUAAAAGUGUUGUACUAACAUCAGAUUUUUCAACAGGUACUGUAAUCGGUUAUCUAUGACUGUGUACAUACCAGUGAUGCACUGUUGACAAUGUAGAACACUCCUUGUUUAUUUUCAGUUGCAAGACGUCUGUGACGUCGUAUCCAAGGGUCUGGACAGCACCACCUUGACCUUCACAAAAACCACCUCCUGUAUUUGCAAUUUUAUGACCGGUGAUGCAACUGCUCUUAGCGGGAUCGAUUGUGACAAAUCCAUGCGUGACAGCUGGUUCAACGGACUGCUCGCUAUGGAGGACACCCUUGUGCUAGAACGAUACGUUAAUGAGGAACUGCUUAAAAUCCACAGCGGGCACGAUGAUGAUGCUCAUCUAUCUCAUGUGUUGGAACACGAUUUCUUGGAUGAACAAGUGAAUGCCAUCAAGGAGAUUGGAGAUAAGAUCAGCCAGCUGAAGAGAGCAGGCAAGGGUCUUGGAGAGUACCUGUUUGACCAGAAGUUGUAGAUAGAGAACAAUCACACAAUGAAAGAGUUGUCAAAGAAAGAAUAAAUGUCAACGUUAAAUUGUAACUCUAAUUUAAGGAGUAAAGCUACAUAUUAU
rnacentral:misc_RNA from 1 species